GACGAACGCUGGCGGCGUGCCUAACACAUGCAAGUCGAGCGAGUGAAUCUCCUUCGGGAGUGAAGCUAGCGGCGGACGGGUGAGUAACACGUGGGCAACCUGCCUCAUAGAGGGGAAUAGCCUUUCGAAAGGAAGAUUAAUACCGCAUAAGAUUGUAGCUUCGCAUGAAGUAGCAAUUAAAGGAGCAAUCCGCUAUGAGAUGGGCCCGCGGCGCAUUAGCUAGUUGGUGAGGUAACGGCUCACCAAGGCGACGAUGCGUAGCCGACCUGAGAGGGUGAUCGGCCACAUUGGGCCUGGGACACGGCCCAGACUCCUACGGGAGGCAGAAGUGGGGAAUAUUGCACAAUGGGGGAAACCCUGAUGCAGCAACGCCGCGUGAGUGAUGACGGCCUUCGGGUUGUAAAGCUCUGUCUUCAGGGACGAUAAUGACGGUACCUGAGGAGGAAGCCACGGCUAACUACGUGCCAGCCGCCCGCCGUAACAC
rnacentral:rRNA from 1 species